AACGAACGCUGGCGGCAUGCCUAACACAUGCAAGUCGAACGAUGCCUUCGGGCAUAGUGGCGCACGGGUGCGUAACGCGUGGGAAUCUGCCCUUGGCUUCGGAAUAACAGUUAGAAAUGACUGCUAAUACCGGAUGAUUUCCCCCUGAGAGAUCUUGGGGACCAAAGAUUUAUCGGCCAGGGAUGAGCCCGCGUAGGAUUAGGUAGUUGGUGGGGUAAAGGCCUACCAAGCCGACGAUCCUUAGCUGGUCUGAGAGGAUGAUCAGCCACACUGGGACUGAGACACGGCCGAGACUACUAGGGGAGGGAGCAGUGGGGGAUAUUGGAAAAUGGGGGGAAUGCUGAAGCAGCAAUGCCGCGUGAGUGAUGAAGGCCUGAGGGUAGUAAAGCUCUUUUACCAGGGAUGAUAAUGACAGUACCUGGAGAAUAAGCACCGGCUAACUCCGUG
rnacentral:rRNA from 1 species